GAAUAUCUGUGAGUGAUUGAAAGAGAGACACGUGAUAUAGUGACAUCAUUUUAAAGUUAGCUGUCUUAAUAAGGAUAUACGUGUGGACCGUGUGGUGUGCAAAUCAACUUCCACCUCCAUCUCCACCUGCACCUGACCGACCAGCUUCCCCUUUUUUACCCGUUUCCUCUUCACUUCUCCCAUGUGCUUUGCUUUCCUCUCUUCUCCUCUCUCCACAUCAUAUUUUAAGAAUAAAAAAAAUAUCAGUGGGCCUUUUCUCUAUAAAAUAGUCAUUCAAAAUGGGCCUUUCAGAGGUAUGAUUAGCCUUAUGAACAAGAGGCCCCGCUGUAGAUUUACAGAAGUGAAAAAAGCAAAAAAUGUGGGGGGAGUAGUCAAGAACAUCAACCCUACUUUCACUCUUUGCCAAGACACUGAGGAAUCACAGAAACUUCACAAGUGUAAAUUUUGCCACGUUUUCUUUUUUAGUGUUUUGUCUAAUAUUAUAUAGCCAAACUUGGCUUCACUCAUCACUACAAAUUUAACGUGUUGCAUUUUUAGUUUUCUGUUUCGUGCACAUAUAUAGAUUUACACUAAUUAAUUGUUUUCCAGACUACAGUUUAGCAAAGGAUCAAUUUAUACAAUUACUAGCUGUUGUUUGGAUUCACAUAUAAAAAGGAGAAAAUAUGCAACAUCAUUCAGAGAUAACGACGUCAACGGAUCAACCAAUUUGCCCGAAGCCACGUCGUGUGUGUCCUUCUCUUCCUGAUUUCCUCAAACCUCUGUCAUGUCCCCUACACUCUUCUAAUUGCCAACAAAGUUCUGAGGGGCGAAGCGGCGUUCUCAGCAUAAUUGAUAAGCCGAUAGAAGGUGGAACAGUAGAGUCAAUGUGGUACGCAGGGUCUCCACCUAGGCGAACCGGGAAUCCUCUUGUACACGACCGUCAUUUCAUUCACUGCCUCGACCCUCUCCCCAGUUUUUCAAGCACUAAGGCUUGAUCUUCACAUCUUCGUGGACGAUAUAUGCAUUCAUAGCCGCACACACAAAAAAAAGCUCCUUACAUGCAUCCACAUUAAUUGCCAUAUCGAUAUAUCUCACCGUAAAGAACAUUAACCAUAUCAACUAGAGGGUUUGCAUACAGAUAUGCAUCUAUAUAUUACUCAAGUUGUAGAAUUGUAUUUUAGAUUGGUAUUCUUGAUCACCAAGAAUCUAUACUGAAGUCGGCACAACACUGCUUACAAAACCAGCACCCGCUUAAUUAGUACACGAUGAGCGCAGAUAUAUAUAUAAAACUGACUAGAAUAUGUUUUUAUUAGGGUCUGCAUGGAUGUUUUUGUUAUAGGCCAUUAUCUCUUUUUAGUUUGUUAUGCCUUGUAUUUGAGACAUUCCUGUUUUUUUUUUUUGGUGCAAGACAUUCCUAUAACUUUAUUUAAGACUUGUGUUCCCUUUGAUUCUACGACUACUUGUGCAUUAGAACUCGUUCGUUCGUCUGUGUAAGUUCCAGAAUUUUACUUUCUAACUUUUUUUUUGUUAGAACAGUUUAUCGGUUGCUUGUAGGCAUGGCGUUCGGAUCUUCGGGUCGGGUUCGGGCCGGUUCCUUUCGGGUCUGGAUCUUUUCGGGUCUUAAAUAUUUAGACCCAAUAGGUACUUAGAAACUUUCGGUUCGGGUUCGGGUCGGUUCUUCUCGGGUCCGGAUCGGUUCGGGUCUAUAAUUAAAAUACCCAUAAAAUAUCCGUAAUUUUUCGGGUCCAUAUCGGGUCCGGAUCGGGUUCGGGUAUUUAAGAUCUGAAAAAGACAUGAUAUACUCAAUUCCAUCAACUUUAGUUGAAUAUUUGUCAUAUAUAUCUAAAAUUUUACAAAAAAACUUAAAUGAAACUAUUAAUAAUUAAAAUAAAACAUUUUAAAACUCUAAAUUUUACAUUUUAAACCUUUAUAUUACUUUAAAAAUGUUAAAAAAUAAUAACAAAUGUUGUUAAUAAAAGAUAUUUUAACUAAAUCAUA